rnacentral:rRNA from 1 species
UCGAUUUGGAGUUUGUUGCCUUGAGUGAUGGGCUCCGAAGCUAACGCGAUAAAUCGACCGCCUGGGGAGUACGGCCGCAAGGUUAAAACUCAAAUGAAUUGACGGGGGCCCGCACAAGCGGUGGAGCAUGUGGUUUAAUUCGAUGCAACGCGAAGAACCUUACCUGGUCUUGACAUCCACAGAAUCUUGCAGAGAUGCGAGAGUGCCUUCGGGAACUGUGAGACAGGUGCUGCAUGGCUGUCGUCAGCUCGUGUUGUGAAAUGUUGGGUUAAGUCCCGCAACGAGCGCAACCCUUAUCCUUUGUUGCCAGCGAUUCGGUCGGGAACUCAAAGGAGACUGCCGUUGAUAAAGCGGAGGAAGGUGGGGACGACGUCAAGUCAUCAUGGCCCUUACGACCAGGGCUACACACGUGCUACAAUGGCGUAUACAAAGGGAGGCGACCUCGCGAGAGCAAGCGGACCUCAUAAAGUACGUCUAAGUCCGGAUUGGAGUCUGCAACUCGACUCCAUGAAGUCGGAAUCGCUAGUAAUCGUGAAUCAGAAUGUCACGGUGAAUACGUUCCCGGGCCU